AAAUUGAAGAGUUUGAUCAUGGCUCAGAUUGAACGCUGGCGGCAGGCCUAACACAUGCAAGUCGAACGGUAACAGGAAGCAGCUUGCUGCUUCGCUGACGAGUGGCGGACGGGUGAGUAAUGUCUGGGAAACUGCCUGAUGGAGGGGGAUAACUACUGGAAACGGUAGCUAAUACCGCAUAACGUCGCAAGACCAAAGAGGGGGACCUUCGGGCCUCUUGCCAUCGGAUGUGCCCAGAUGGGAUUAGCUUGUUGGUGGGGUAACGGCUCACCAAGGCGACGAUCCCUAGCUGGUCUGAGAGGAUGACCAGCCACACUGGAACUGAGACACGGUCCAGACUCCUACGGGAGGCAGCAGUGGGGAAUAUUGCACAAUGGGCGCAAGCCUGAUGCAGCCAUGCCGCGUGUAUGAAGAAGGCCUUCGGGU
rnacentral:rRNA from 1 species